rnacentral:piRNA from 1 species
UGCCAGAACAGUACAGUGGUAGUGUCAUC